CACAGAUUGUGGCAGCAUCUCUUUAAAUAGGAUGUGCCAACAUCCAAGCAGGGCUAGAGCCAAACUCCAUCUCAGCUGCGGCCACAGCUGUCAGGAGCACAGCGGCCCAGAUGGUUUCGCCCAUGCUCAGUGCAGCUCCAGGCUGGAAUCAUGUGAUCCUCUCGGCUAGAGGAGCAGUACAGGACCGCCGGGGGGUCUCCCAGAUGUCCUUUCCCUUUAUACCAUUCCCCAAACAGCUGCUUGCAUUGCUACAGUCAGGAGAGGCUCUGACACCGUGGGCUUUGAGGGAGAUGAAAACCAAGAGCACCUUUGUUUCUUCAGCUUGACCUACUGCAAGGUCCCCAGUUGGCUGUUUCAGGAGGUGACUUGGAAAGGAACACCUUGAACAUGGAAGACCAGCAGCCUCCUAGGUUACAACCCUGUCUCCAACCUUCCUUCUUUGGGAAAGGCUGAAUCAGCACCACUCUCCCUCCAUCCUCACUCUCCCCCACCCCUGACUCCUGCUCUCUCUCCUGCCCACUUUCUCAGGGAGACAGUGCUGGUCUGACUGGUCAAUGAAUUUUCCCCAUGUCAGACAGGGCCUGUGCCGGUAGCCAGGAUGUGUUGCUGUCCUAUUUGCAGACCCUGGAUGGGCCCUCACAUGGGACCUCUUGCCCCUCCAAAGAUCACAGAGGAUGAAUAGAUUUGGCCAGUGGCUCAUCUCUGCCUGGGCCCUCUCCUAGAUAAUAGGGAUGGCGCUCCUCAGGCCUUUUGAGGCUGAGGGGAAGGAGGCUCAGCGGCUCUCAUGGAUGACCCACAGCUCCAUUUUCAUCAGGCCCAGCCAGUGUGGUUUUCCUAGUGCCCAGCUAUAGCUUAGCUCCAACAGGAUAGAGGCAAUACUUGUGGUGUGGCCUGGAGACCAUAUAG